rnacentral:misc_RNA from 1 species
UCCUUGAGCGUAUUGUGGGUUUCUUGUGUUGAAUUCCAAUUUGAUGGUAUUGUUUCGGUUAAUUAAAGUCCAUUUUCGUCUUGUCUUGCCUUUUUUAUUCAAGAUGAACCAUGAAGAASUCUCUAUGUACCAUUWUGUYGAUGCMAAUGCAUYGAUGUUGUGGCCCAUUGAGUGUUGCUAGGUGUCCUGGAUAUGGAAAAUUAUGUGGGCAUGGGGUCUCUCAUGGCUCUUGUUUUGUCCUUGUUUAGUGUUCUUUAAAAUGACAGUUCAUGCGUGCCAAGGCUCGUACCUGCACGCUGAUCUUUGUCAAAGAGGAAUGCUACCUGGUUGAUCCUGCCAGU